rnacentral:rRNA from 1 species
GUGGGGAAUAUUGGACAAUGGGGGCAACCCUGAUCCAGCCAUGCCGCGUGUGUGAAGAAGGCUUUCGGGUUGUAAAGCACUUUCAGCGAGGAGGAAGGCCUUAAAGUUAAUACCUUUAAGGAUUGACGUUACUCGCAGAAGAAGCACCGGCUAACUCCGUGCCAGCAGCCGCGGUAAUACGGAGGGUGCAAGCGUUAAUCGGAAUUACUGGGCGUAAAGCGCGCGUAGGUGGUUUGGUAAGCGAGAUGUGAAAGCCCCGGGCUUAACCUGGGAACGGCAUUUCGAACUGUCAGACUAGAGUGUGGUAGAGGGUAGUGGAAUUUCCUGUGUAGCGGUGAAAUGCGUAGAUAUAGGAAGGAACACCAGUGGCGAAGGCGGCUACCUGGACCAACACUGACACUGAGGUGCGAAAGCGUGGGGAGCAAACAGG